CCCUUAGAUGUUCUGGGCUGCACGCGCGCUACACUGAUGCAUCCAACGAGUUUUUGACCUGAGCCGAUAGGCCUAGGUAAUCUUGUGAGUAUGCAUCGUGAUGGGGAUAGAUUAUUGCAAUUAUUAAUCUUCAACGAGGAAUGCCUAGUAGGCGCGAGUCAACAGCUCGUGCCGAUUACGUCCCUGCCCUUUGUACACACCGCCCGUCGCUCCUACCGAUGAGUCGUCCGGUGAAGUUCGUAGACCUCGUGAUCGCGGAUCACUGGGGGAAGCAAAAUGAACCUCGCGGUUUAGAGGAAGGAGAAGUCGUAACA
rnacentral:rRNA from 1 species